rnacentral:rRNA from 15 species
AACGACUCUCGGCAACGGAUAUCUCGGCUCUUGCAUCGAUGAAGAACGUAGCGAAAUGCGAUACUUGGUGUGAAUUGCAGAAUCCCGUGAACCAUCGAGUUUUUGAACGCAAGUUGCGCCCGAUGCCAUUAGGUUGAGGGCACGUCUGCCUGGGC